AGUGAACGCUGGCGGUAGGCCCAACACAUGCAAGUCGAACGGCAGCACAGUAAGAGCUUGCUCUUACGGGUGGCGAGUGGUGGACGGGUGAGGAAUACAUCGGAAUCUACUUUUUCGUGGGGGAUAACGUAGGGAAACUUACGCUAAUACCGCAUACGACCUACGGGUGAAAGCAGGGGAUCUUCGGACCUUGCGCGAUUGAAUGAGCCGAUGUCGGAUUAGCUAGUUGGCGGGGUAAAGGCCCACCAAGGCGACGAUCCGUAGCUGGUCUGAGAGGAUGAUCAGCCACACUGGAACUGAGACACGGUCCAGACUCCUACGGGAGGCAGCAGUGGGGAAUAUUGGACAAUGGGCGCAAGCCUGAUCCAGCCAUACCGCGUGGGUGAAGAAGGCCUUCGGGUUGUAAAGCCCUUUUGUUGGGAAAGAAAAGCAGCAGGUUAAUACCCCGCUGUUCUGACGGUACCCAAAGAAUAAGCACCGGCUAACUUCGUG
rnacentral:rRNA from 1 species